CUUGGCCAGGAGCCUUCCGUCCCUGGGGACGCUGAUUUCUUGCUCAAGUGCAUGUCAGAGGCAGGAGUUGAUGGUGCCCUUAUUGUGCAACCAAUAAACCAUAUGUUUGAUCAUUCUUUAGUAACUAGUGUUUUGAGGCGUCAUCCAUCCAAAUUUGUUGGUUGCAUUACGGAGGAGGAGAAGA